UACGGGAGGCAGCAGUGGGGAAUAUUGCACAAUGGGCGCAAGCCUGAUGCAGCCAUGCCGCGUGUAUGAAAAAGGCCUUCGGGUUGUAAAGUACUUUCAGUCGUGAGGAAGGUGUUAAGGUUAAUAACCUUAGCAAUUGACGUUAGCGACAGAAGAAGCACCGGCUAACUCCGUGCCAGCAGCCGCGGUAAUACGGAGGGUGCGAGCGUUAAUCGGAAUUACUGGGCUAAAGGGCACGCAGGCGGUUAAUUAAGUUGGAUGUGAAAUCCCCGGGCUUAACCUGGGGAUGGCAUUCAAGACUGGUUAGCUAGAGUCUUGUAGAGGGGGUAGAAUUCCAUGUGUAGCGGUGAAAUGCGUAGAGAUGUGGAGGAAUACCGGUGGCGAAGGCGGCCCCUGGACAAAGACUGACGCUCAUGUGCGAAAGCGUGGGGAGCAAACAGGGAUUAGAUACC
rnacentral:rRNA from 1 species